UACAGAGGGUGCGAGCGUUAAUCGGAAUUACUGGGCGUAAAGAGCGCGCAGGCGGUCGUUCAAGUCGCGUGUGAAAGCCCCCGGCUCAACUGGGGAGGGUCACGCGAUACUGAUCGACUCGAAGGCAGGAGAGGGUAGUGGAAUUCCCGGUGUAGUGGUGAAAUGCGUAGAUAUCGGGAGGAACACCAGUGGCGAAGGCGACUACCUGGCCUGUUCUUGACGCUGAGGCGCGAAAGCUAGGGGAGCAAACGGG
rnacentral:rRNA from 1 species